GGGGCCAGCCCUCCUUCCCUCCUUCGCCCACUGACACUCAUGGCCCUUGGGAGGUGACAUCAUGGCCUAAAAAUAGCUCCCCCACCCCUCCUCCCAGACCCUGUGCUUUUCAGGGACUCCCUCCCCCCUGUUGACAAGGUUUGGGACCUGGGGAGGGUGUUUCUGGAAGAAUAACAUUUCUGUCCUAAGCUGCUUUUUCAAACCUUUCAAGGACAGCACUUACCUCCAACAAGACGUUCAGUGAGAAAAGAGGUGAUUUUUAUGAAGUUUGAACGCUGGAUUCAAAGCCAACCUCAGCCCGAGGCCAAGUUCCUAUCCGUGGAGUGAAGGGAGACCGACCCCACAGGGUGAGGACUUCUGAGGGAAUUUCCAGUCCAGCUCAAAGCUGCAGCACCUCCUGCCAUGGCUCAGGCUGCUGACAGGGUGGGUGAGGCCCUCCUGCGUCUGGGGGAGUGUGUUGAUGUCCCGGAUCGACAAUGAAGCUUUCUGAUGUCUCAGACACCUUCAUCUCCGCUGAGUGACCUCCCUGUCCUGAACUGGUCACAUUGGAGAAACGGGGGAGAUGGGUCGUUGGCAUCGUGGCACUGAAGGUGCGCCUGUGAUCUGCACACAGUUGUCUCUAACGGGAUCGGAACCUUCAGACGCAACAAAGUGACACGUGUCCUCAUGAUGAGGGCGACGCCUUACAGGUAGCGGAAACAAAGGAAGGACCCAGAUUUCCCCAAUAAAGCUCAAAGCUGUUGAUUGCAAUCCAGUUAAAAUCUCCACUGCUAAUUAUUGCCUGGAUUUACUCAGCCGCGAAGCUUCUGAUGUCUGCUGGCUCGAGCGUGAGGUACUCCAUUUUAAUGUUGCAAAACCUCCUAAAUAGCCACAAAGGCAACUGUUUAUCUCAAUCUUCACUUAAAACACCUGCUUACUGAUACUUGAUUAUGUGUUUUGAGGCUUGUGAUUGAGCAUCUAACACCUGGCUGAUUAGGCUGAUGUUUGAUCAUGUCUUGAAAUGCAAUUUUGCCAUUUAGCGUGCACGUCCAUGCUGCAAAGCAUUGAGUGGAUUGCUUGUCCCCAAGCUCUUGUUGUUGUUUUUAAAAAAUAACCAUUACAGAAUAAUGGCUUGUUUUCGUUGAAAGGGAAAUGAAUUUCACAAUUCUUACUCUGUGGUGCAGCCCUGUUCUUUAGGACCACGGGUUUCCCAGUGUGGAACAAGGGAGAGCCUACCUCGCACUCCUACCCUAGACCUGCUGCAUCAGGACCCCUGGCGGUGAGGCCCAGGGAUUGACAUUUGGAGCUGAGGAACUGAGCUUUGAGAGAAGGCAACUUUGCAUUGGCUCCUGGAGGACCAUGGGCAACUUUUCUGGGUAGACUCUUCGGGUUCGUGUCUGCGAAGGCUGUCUGAGGGGAGAGCCCAGGGGUCUUGAUUAUUCUGGGGAGAGCAGGGAGCAGGAGUGAGCGCUCACAUCACUGCCUGCUGGGCCCUGAGCCUCUGCCAGUGGGGCUGAGCGGUUGAGGGGUAUAUGGCGAAGGCCUUGGAAGGGGGCCUGCUUUCCCUCUCAUUUUACGGAUGCGAAAGGGGAAAGGAUGGACCGAAGGCCAUGAAAGAUUUGAAGCUUAGGGGUACCUGGGUGGCUCAGUCAACUAAGCAUCUGCCUUCACCUCAGGUCAUGAUCCCAGGAUCCUGGGCCCCACAUCGGGCUCCCUGCUCAGUGAGGAGUCU